CAAAUCUGAUACUAACUCCUUCCGCUUAGACAGAAGAACAGGGAAGGAGGAGAUGUAGGCAACAGAGGAGACUGAAGCUACUGUGCCUUAAAACCCUGUUUUGGCCUGUCCAUAUGGAACAGUCACAGAGCUGUCUCACUGUCCCAGUCACCUGGGGCCUUCCCUGUUCUCCACGAGAGUCAGCAUGCGGGGCUGCUAACAGGAUGCCCAGCAGGAUGACACGAGAGCCUGAUAAGUGAGGGUGCACCCAGCUUACACCUUCUCACGGUGCAGAUCUCAGCCUAAAGGCCCCUCUUGGGAGCUGCCAUCCUGGACCCCUCUCUCCAAAGCAGCUCUGUCCUUGCGCCUUCCCUCACACAUUGUCUCUACCAUGCUCUGAAAUUCUCUUAUUUACUGUGUACUUGUUUAUUGUCACCCUCCCCCACCUCAGCCUCAUAUCAGCACCUGCCCCCCUACCACCACCACCACCACCACCAGCCUCUUGGGACUCGAGUGUUCUGGUAAGAGGGGGAGAGGACUGUGGCUUAUCUCAACACUUAGACAUCAUCUCCAGCAUCUCCUUCACCUGCAGCAAGGGGCCAACCCUCAGUACCAGCGUGCGCCACCUCCACUGUUUCCCCAAAGUCUGCCCACUCCCGAGGUGGGGAAGCUCCUAUGGCACUGCAUCCCAUCCCAGAAUAUGCUUAUUACAAAUUAUAAUCACCUGUGUACAAGUCUACCUCCCCAAGGAGACCAUGGGGCCGGAACGUGCCUUUUCUGUUCAUUCAAGUGUUCAUGCCUGUCUCUCUCACCUGAUAAGGCGAGGAGGAGUUUCUGCUCACUAGUCCUUCCCCCGCCCCCGUGGGCCGCAGAGCACCUGACACCAUCCAGAGGUUCCCGUGGCUCCAGGCUUCUCUCCAUGCUACCAGCCAAUUUCUGAGCCCUGUCUCUGAGCCAGACCCGUGCUCGGUAUGUACAUGGAGUGCGUUAUUCCAUCCUUACGACCUAGGAGACAGGAACUGCCAAUUCUGUGAGGUAGGGGCCGUGAGCCUCGUUUUACAGAUAAGAAGGAGGAGGCACAGGAGAGGUUAAGUCGCUCAGCCAAAGUUACGGCAGGGAAGUCCCGGGGCAGGGACUCAAACCCAGGCUGUGUGGCUCUGGCUGCCACAGCCUGAGCCCCUAUUCGAGACCGCGCCAAUCACAGCAUCCGUCACACUGUGUUAUGGUUGUUUCUCUCUUCCCCUCCACGGAGCUUCUCCCGGAGGGAGACAGUCGACCAGAAGAGUGAAGAAUGCAGGAAGGGCUGAUUGGAAGCGGGGAGCCUUUGUCUUGCUCAGCUGACAUUGUCCACCAGGUGGCAGUCACAGCUCCCGGAUAAAGUCGUCCCUUUUCAUCUCCCCCCUUCCCCUUUAAGAAGGAAACCCUUUUUUUCCCCCGACGCCGCCUCCCUCAAUUUUUAUUAUUACCAAGAAGUGAAGUGAGUAGCCUCAACUCAAAACACGACUCCCUGCCUGAGCUUUUUGAAAACGGCACGUGGAGAAGGUGCGUCUCCAACCCCCGUGAGCCGCGGCGCAAGCGGAGAGAGGCAGGCGGGCUUGGGGGUGCGCAGCCUGGGAGCCCAGGAUCCAUGACGUGAGAUGGAAUUUCAGCCCACAAAAGAGUAGGGCACGUGGGACUUUGCCAACUCUCAAGUCACGCGCACGUGUCUUCCUCACUGCCCACGUUCUCUCUGACACGAAGAGCUAACGUGGCCCGGUUCUGCUGCCAUCCUCCACUGACACCAGUGACACCAGCGCCACUG
rnacentral:lncRNA from 10 species